rnacentral:rRNA from 1 species
AUUGAACGCUAGCGGCAUGCCUUACACAUGCAAGUCGAACGGCAGCGCGGGGGCAACCCUGGCGGCGAGUGGCGAACGGGUGAGUAAUGCAUCGGAACGUGCCCAUCGAUGGGGGAUAACUGCGCGAAAGCGUUGCUAAUACCGCAUACGACCUACGGGUGAAAGCAGGGGACCGCAAGGCCUUGCGUCGAUGGAGCGGCCGAUGCCGGAUUAGCUAGUUGGUGAGGUAAAGGCUCACCAAGGCGACGAUCCGUAGCUGGUCUGAGAGGACGACCCAGCCACACUGGGACUGAGACACGGCCCAGACUCCUACGGGAGGCAGCAGUGGGGAAUCUUGGACAAUGGGCGAAAGCCUGAUCCAGCAAUGCCGCGUGUGGAAGAAGGCCUUCGGGUUGUAAACCUACUUUUGGCGGGAAAGAAAUGGUCUGUGCUAAUACCACGGAUUGAUGACGGUACCCGCAGAAUAAGCACCGGCUAACUACGUG